CUCUGAAUAUUCUCACUGUUCUGAUUUUGUAAUUAUCAGGGCAGGCUAAACAUUUGCUUUAUGAAGACCAUGCAUGUAUCCUCAGACCUAUGUCCUUCUCUUGGUCUGGGUUUUUAAAUGCUGAUAGUUCCU